rnacentral:rRNA from 9 species
UGCGACCCCAGGUCAGGCGGGACUACCCGCUGAG